UAUCUCUGUAGAGUCUGCAUAUCAAUAAGCGGAGGAAAAGAAACUAACUAGGAUUCCCUCAGUAACGGCGAGUGAAGCGGGAAGAGCUCAAAUUUGAAAUCUUCAAGGUUCUACCUUGACGAAUUGUAGUUUAAAGAAGUGUUUUCUGUUGGAGUUUUGGUAAAAGUUCUUUGGAAUAGGACAUCAUAGAGGGUGAGAAUCCCGUAUUUGACCAUUAUUUCCAGCUUUGUGAUACACUUUCAAAGAGUCGGAUUGUUUGGGAAUGCAGUCCAAAAUGGGUGGUAAAUUUCAUCUAAAGCUAAAUACUGGCGAGAGACCGAUAGCGAACAAGUACCGUGAGGGAAAGAUGAAAAGAACUUUGAAAAGAGAGUUAAACAGUACGUGAAAUUGUCAAAAGGGUAAGCGUUUGACACCAGUGUUGUUUUCUCGAAAAUCAAUUAAAAAAGGCAGGAUUUUGUGUUGUAUUGACUUUAUCAGCUUUCUGCACUCUUUUCUUGUCUUUUUUAAUGCACUUUUCGUUUAACAAGUCAACAUCAAUUUCUUUUGUUGUAAAAGGGUCAUUGGAAGGUGGCUUUCUUUUCGGAGAAAGUGUUUAUAGCCUUUGGCCUCUGCAAUCGGAGAGAUUGAGGUCUGCAGCGUAGAUCCUUCGGGCUAGAUACGUAGAUGCUAAGUUAUAGCCUUUUUCAUAGACAACUUGUUGACUAUGAUCAGUCAUGUAGCUUACUCGCUUAUGCUAUUUUACCUACGCUUAGGAUGUUGAUAGUCACAGCGUGUAC
rnacentral:rRNA from 1 species